CGGAGCAAAUCUCAAAAAAUUAGUCCCAGUUCGGAUUGCAGGCUGAAACUCGCCUGCAUGAAGUCGGAAUUGCUAGUAAUCGCGGAUCAGCAUGCCGCGGUGAAUACGUUCCCGGGCCUUGUACACACCGCCCGUCACACCAUGGGAGUCGGUAACACCCGAAGCCUGUAGUCUAACCGUAAGGAGGGCGCCGCCGAAGGUGGGAUUGAUGACUGGGGUGAAGUCGUAACAAGGUACC
rnacentral:rRNA from 1 species